rnacentral:rRNA from 1 species
AGAGUUGAUCCUGGCUUAGAACGAACGCUGGCGGCAUGGAUUAGGCAUGCAAGUCGAACGGGAGCAGCAAUGCUCCAGUGGCGCAAGGGUGAGGAACACGUGAACAACCUGCCUUCGAGUUGGGGAUAGCUUCUGGAAACGGGAGAUAAUACCGAAUAACAUCGCCGGAUCGCAUGAUCUGGUGAUCAAAGCAGCAAUGCGCUUGAAGAGGGGUUCGCGUCCCAUUAGCUAGUUGGUGAGGUAACGGCCCACCAAGGCGAUGAUGGGUAGCUGGUCUGAGAGGACGAUCAGCCACAUUGGGACUGAGAUACUGCCCAGACUCCUACGGGAGGCUGCAGUCGAGAAUUUUGGGCAAUGGACGAAAGUCUGAACCCCCAGCAAUGCCGCGUGCGGGAUGAAGGUCUUCGGAUUGUAAACCGCUGUCAAGAGGGACGAAAUUUGACGGUACCUCUGGAGGAAGCCACGGCUAACUACGUGCCAGCCGCCGC